GUGAGUCAGGAGUACAUGUUGAACCUGUGUCAGCAACUGCUGAAUGUCCAAGUAUUGGUCCAAGCGUGGCAGACACCCAUGUUCAAAACUUGUGCUCCAC